GGAAAACAGAGAAGAGAUGUGGCAGAAACACAGGAAGGAGUUGCAAAAAGCUGACAUGUACCCAACGUCUAUCUACUUGAUGUCAAGUACAGUGAGACACUGAACAUACAGAGAUGAAGAAGACCUACAUUUGCAUCCCCAAUAUUCAGCAUAUUAUAAUGUCUGCACACAGUAAGUGCUUUAAAAACAUAGCAUUGCACUGUUCUGUAAAGAAAUAUUACAUGUCAACUAAAAUACACAUUAGCAAAGACUUUCA